rnacentral:rRNA from 1 species
AAACUAGCGGAUGAGCUGUGGAUAGGGGUGAAAGGCUAAACAAACUUGGAAAUAGCUGGUUCUCUCCGAAAACUAUUUAGGUAGUGCCUCAAGUAUCACCAUCGGGGGUAGAGCACUGUUAUGGCUAGGGGGUCAUUGCGACUUACCAAACCAUUGCAAACUCCGAAUACCGAUGAGUGCGAGCUUGGGAGACAGACGUCGGGUGCUAACGUCCG